AAGCCUACAAGCCCCUCUACACCCAGAGCCCCGAGAUCUGUCUACCGUCCAGCCUGAGGCCUCGGUUCACACAGGGGUUACAGAUUCAGUUGGAGUGCUGUUCCUCAACACACCUGUAGAUCCUCCAAGCCUUCAGCCACAAAGCUCCAUGGCUGGUGCAACCACGGCUGUUUCUACAGCCCCCAAUCACCCAUCAAUCAUUCAGACCCCGCCAGCGAGACAGCAAUUGGGUGAAGACUUAUUUAGAUUGGUUCAGGUGAGACUACUUCGACUGAAAGUAAAUAUUGGCACCCAACUGUCUCCUAUGAUUGAUUCAUACCUGAAGUGUUUUUAUUCUUUGUUGCAGCAUAUCAACUACAUGGGAAUGAUGGAGGUCUUGGGAGCUUCAUUUUCCAGCCUGCAACUUGCCCAGCAGAGCUCAACUCUGGCUCAGUCCAACUUGAAUGCCUCACACCCUCAUGUGCCACCAUCUCAUGUAACCAAUUACAUCCCUCAACCAAAUGCCUUACCCGAUCAAACCACCAUUUCUGUGGCGCCCCAGACACAGUCACGUUUGCCAACUUCAGCAUCCAACAAUCCUCAACCCAGUCAGGCCACUGCAUGUAUGUUUGCAGACCGGCCUGCUUUACAGAUCGCAGGGAAAACCUCCCUAACAGAUGGCCACCCUCAAAUCACCAGGAAUCUGUCCUCCGCUGCCAGUGGUGCCGGUGUAAACGAUCAGGAAAUGCAUCAACUCUCUGUCCAAGUGGAGACAUCAGAAAUCCAGUUUAGACAGAGCAGAGGGUUAAUCCCGUCCGCCCAGGGGCUCCUGGUCACUACUGACGUUAGUCAGGCGGCUCCCAGUGCUCCUGUGGUGCUGCCUUCUGACGGUAGCAUACAAAAUGACACUACUCCCCAUGUCUUUAGCCUGAAAUUAAUUCAGCCUCGGUGUCCUCCGCUGCCCCAGCGGAGCGCCCCACACUAUCCUCCAGCCCAAGAACCCCAAAUGCUGUGCAUUGCAAACCCAGCAACUCCAGAACCCCAUCAGCCCGAGCUUAAACAAAAUCACCAAGUUGCAUCAAAGAGGGCAGAAGAAAGAAGAGUUGGGUCUUCAAGAAGACAGCUCAGUUUUAAUCAUGCACAUGAUCCAGCUCCCACGAACUCUCGACCCCAGAUUCAGACAUCAGACAGGUCCCGGGGACAGGAGUUCACGUCACUCCCUCCUGCUUCACCGGCUCACACGCCGGCUCCAGUGCGGGGCUGUUACCUGCUGCACCUUCAGCCUGCUGCACACAGCAGUCUCCUGCUCCCUAAACUACCCAUUCCAUUUUCUUCUCGGCCCUCUGCUGUCAUCGCAGCUCCAAUGAGACAAACACCUCUGGCCAAGCUCUUACAUCUACAGUCCGCACCAAAAAUGAUUUUGCCACGGGCUGCUCCUUUAGCUCCACAAAUGGGCCGCCUCAACUCUGUGGAUGAGUUGACAAGUACAGUGAUGAAUGUCGAAGAGGCUCAACGGCUGCUGCUCAGAGUGGACGCGCCCACUGAAGGCUCCAGAGCAAAUGAUACUUCUCCCAGGCAGCGGAGGAGAGAGGAGAAGGCUGGCAGGGCAAGAAAAACAGUCGUAACAUUCACACCAAAUGAGUCCAUCAUCCCCACGCUGACCGAUGAGCCUGUAAAUGGAGAGUCUGCAGUUGAAGAGGAGAUCACGCCAAAACACGACUUUGCUCUUCCUCUUGGAUCCUUUGAUUCUCUGAUGACUGGUCAGAGAUUAUUGCACAAGGCCGAGUCCACUUCAGCUGAGCUCCAUGCCUUUGCUUCCACAUGUAAAAAACCCCCAGAGUGCCAUGAUGCUUUCACCAACACAGAGCCAGCUUGUCCACCCACUCUUCUGGAUAAAGCUGUGUCUGCCUCUGUGACUACCAGUAUUCCUAAGUCAAAAUGUUCACGGAACUUCCAGAUAUGUGAUGAACUUCUUGUUCAAGAUCUAGAGGAGACCCCGAAGAAACCAGAGAAGAUUCUGCAUGGCCACCAGUUCAUAAGUGUCUUGGAUCUGGACGACAAUGCGCUGCACCAUGAUUUGCCAUUGUGUCUCAGCCCAGGAGAACAGGAUACUCCUUCCAUCCGCCCUCCUUCACCUACAUCCGCUCAGCUUCAUGUUCUUGCAACUUCUGUUAUAAGCGUCGCUGCUUCUGCUGCUGAUCCACAACCAUCAAAAUCGAUCACAGACAAUCGCCUGGAACCCACCACUCACCCAGAUAUCCCUGAAGAUUCUCGGUUACUCAGUUGCACUGAGUCCAAUAAAGAUCCAGAGAGAAUCACUCCACAAGAACUGACAGACCCGUCUGAUUCUCUGAUCUGUCGAGCCAUAAAGAAGCAGAGCGUUGGACCUCACAGAGCCUCCUUCUCACCCCCUACAGUCGAGUUCUCCUCUCGUCUGUCGGAGCUGGACGCCCAGUUGGCCGAACUACACAAAAUUGCAAACAAUCUGGAGAUGGACUUUUCCAACACCAGGAUGCUGGUGAACACCAUCGAAAAGCUCACCCCAGUCUUGGCUCCUGAUGUGAAGAAAAAAAAAUGUCAGACUGUCUGUCCCACGGGAAGCGUGGACACCACGAUCUGA
ensembl:lncRNA